rnacentral:rRNA from 1 species
GACGAACGCUGGCGGCGUGCUUAACACAUGCAAGUCGAACGGUGAAGCGCCUUCCUGUUUGGUGGGGGUGGAUGAGGGGCGAACGGGUGAGUAACACGUGAGUAACCUGCCCCCUUCUUCUGGAUAACCGCGUGAAAGUGUGGCUAAUACGGGAUAUUCUGGGUCUGUCGCAUGAUGGGUCUGGGAAAGAUGUUGUUUCGGUGGGGGAUUGGCUCGCGGCCUAUCAGGUUGUUGGUGGGGUGGUGGCCUAGCAAGGCGGUGACGGGUAGCCGGCCUGGGAGGGUGGACGGGCAGGUCGGGGAGGAGACACGGCCAAGCUGCGUACGGGAGGCAGCAGUGAGUACUACUGGAGGAAGGGGGCGAGCAUGAUGCAGAGACGGCGCGAGAGUGAUGGAGGCCUUCCGGUUGAGAGCUUCAUUCGCUAGGGAAGUAGGGCUGUUUUGUCUGUGAGGGGGUUGACGGUAGCUGGAUAAGAAGCGCCGGCUAACUACGUG